UGGGGAAUAUUGGACAAUGGGCGCAAGCCUGAUCCAGCCAUGCCGCGUGAGUGUUGAAGGCCCUAGGGUUGUAAAGCUCUUUCAACGGUGAAGAUAAUGACGGUAACCGUAGAAGAAGCCCCGGCUAACUUCGUGCCAGCAGCCGCCGUAAUACGAAGGGGGCUAGCGUUGUUCGGAAUUCCUGGGCGUAAAGCGCACGUAGGCGGAUCGGUCAGUUAGGGGUGAAAUCCCAGGGCUCAACCCUGGAACUGCCUUUAAUACUGCCGAUCUGGAGUCCGGAAGAGGUGAGUGGAAUUCCGAGUGUAGAGGUGAAAUUCGUAGAUAUUCGGAGGAACACCGGUGGCGAAGGCGGCUCACUGGUCCGGUACUGACGCUGAGGUGCGAAAGCGUGGGGAGCAAACA
rnacentral:rRNA from 1 species